rnacentral:misc_RNA from 1 species
GGCUAACAGUAAAUUGAAUUGAUGUUUAUUAAGGGAAUGUAUACAAGGAGAUAAUGCCACUAAACCAUAUAUAUCAGAGGGUAUUGAAGAGGCCAAUCCUCUUGUAAACAGCAAUGAAUUUUUAGCAACAACCCAGGUCCAUUCCUUUUAAAAGAAAGACCUAACCCUCACUUGUAAACUCAUUUUGUACUUUUCUAUUCUAUUAAAUGACCAAUAAAAUAUAACAAUAACGAAAUGCAGAUAAUGAACUGAAAAAAUGGGGAUAUUUUUUUAUUAAUCAAAUAAAAUUUGGGAGAGGAAAGAAACAGUAAUAUUAAUAACAACGUAUUUAUCCUUGUUUCACUAACCCUCCCACCAUAAGUACCCACCACCCAUGCUAUCUCCUUCCAGCCUUCAAAUUCUUUCUGUAUAUAUCACAUAUAUACACGUACAAGAUCCUCUUCUACCAGCCUGCCAAUCUCUCUCUCAAACAACUAGGGAACCUCCCUAAUCAAUUGUACA